GGGCCCGCACAAGCAGUGGAGCAUGUGGUUUAAUUCGAUGCAACGCGAAGAACCUUACCAGGCCUUGACAUCCUCGGAACUUUCUAGAGAUAGAUUGGUGCCUUCGGGAACCGAGUGACAGGUGCUGCAUGGCUGUCGUCAGCUCGUGUCGUGAGAUGUUGGGUUAAGUCCCGUAACGAGCGCAACCCUUGUCCUUGAGUUGCCAGCACAUUAUGGUGGGAACUCUAAGGAGACUGCCGGUGACAAACCGGAGGAAGGUGGGGACCGACGGUCAAGUCAUCAUGGCCCUUACGGCCUGGGCUACACACGUGCUACAAUGGCUAGGACAGACGGCCGCAAACCCGCGAGGGGGAGCCAA
rnacentral:rRNA from 1 species